rnacentral:rRNA from 1 species
AGUCGAGCGGGGAAGAGUAGCUUGCUACUUUACCUAGCGGCGGACGGGUGAGUAAUGCUUAGGAAUCUGCCUAUUAGUGGGGGACAACAUCUCGAAAGGGAUGCUAAUACCGCAUACGUCCUACGGGAGAAAGCAGGGGACCUUCGGGCCUUGCGCUAAUAGAUGAGCCUAAGUCGGAUUAGCUAGUUAGUGGGGUAAAGGCCUACCAAGGCGACGAUCUGUAGCGGGUCUGAGAGGAUGAUCCGCCACACUGGGACUGAGACACGGCCCAGACUCCUACGGGAGGCAGCAGUGGGGAAUAUUGGACAAUGGGGGGAACCCUGAUCCAGCCAUGCCGCGUGUGUGAAGAAGGCCUUUUGGUUGUAAAGCACUUUAAGCGAGGAGGAGGCUACCGAGAUUAAUACUCUUGGAUAGUGGACGUUACUCGCAGAAUAAGCACCGGCUAACUCUGUGCCAGCAGCCGCGGUAAUACAGAGGGUGCAAGCGUUAAUCGGAUUUACUGGGCGUAAAGCGCGCGUAGGUGGCCAAUUAAGUCAAAUGUGAAAUCCCCGAGCUUAACUUGGGAAUUGCAUUCGAUACUGGUUGGCUAGAGUAUGGGAGAGGAUGGUAGAAUUCCAGGUGUAGCGGUGAAAUGCGUAGAGAUCUGGAGGAA